rnacentral:rRNA from 1 species
AUUGAACGCUGGCGGCAGGCCUAACACAUGCAAGUCGAGCGGCAGCGGGAAAGUAGCUUGCUACUUUUGCCGGCGAGCGGCGGACGGGUGAGUAAUGCCUGGGAAAUUGCCCAGUCGAGAGGGAUAACAGUUGGAAACGACUGCUAAUACCGCAUACGCCCUACGGGGGAAAGCAGGGGACCUUCGGGCCUUGCGCGAUUGGAUAUGCCCAGGUGGGAUUAGCUAGUUGGUGAGGUAAUGGCUCACCAAGGCGACGAUCCCUAGCUGGUCUGAGAGGAUGAUCAGCCACACUGGAACUGAGACACGGUCCAGACUCCUACGGGAGGCAGCAGUGGGGAAUAUUGCACAAUGGGGGAAACCCUGAUGCAGCCAUGCCGCGUGUGUGAAGAAGGCCUUCGGGUUGUAAAGCACUUUCAGCGAGGAGGAAAGGUCAGUAGCUAAUAUCUGCUGGCUGUGACGUUACUCGCGGAAGAAGCACCGGCUAACUCCGUGCCAGCAGCCGCCGUAAGAC